UAAGUUUGAUUUUAAAAAUUUAAGGUCAUAAAUUGUCUUAAGUCUUAUUUUUACUUUUGAGAGGUCUUAAAUGUUGAGAUGAUGCCUACACUAACUGAGACAUGUCUCAAUACUACUACUUCAAAUCUACCUAUAUUACUGUAUCUAUUUAGUGUUCAAUGAUUUUUUAUGACUAAUUUUUUGUGGGUUUGUGCUUUACGUCUUGCAUUCACGUAACUUAUUACAUACGCUGUCUUCCACAUUUACAAACCGCAAAUGGGAGAGAGAGGAGGAAGAAGCUAGCAAGAUCAAUAUCACCGACCUGCAGAGCCAGAGAGCCCUCGCAGUUCUAGACGCAGCAGUUCAGACCCUCCGUUAUAGAUGUACACAUGUGCCACCAGUUUUAGACAUAUGCAGAAAAGCAGCGGAACCCCACAGCUCUAGACUCAACACUUAACCCACCAGCUUCUGGAGAAUGCUAAAUCACAUCAAGGCUAAAUAAUAGUCCACUUUUCUUGUCUUUUAUGAAAUAAAAUGUGUGUAUAUUGUAUUCAAUGAAGGAUUUUUUAUCAAUAUCAGCAUUUAUUAAUUCAAAACAGCUGUGUGCCUGCACACACCGAUAGAUACACUGUUUUUGUUUUGUUGUUUGUUUUUCUUACUGUGACUGGACCGUUGCUUUGCCUUUUGCUUCCCUGUUGGAUCUAGAAUUCAUGAAGCGAUGUUGUUUGACCUGCAUUUGGACACACACUCAUGGAAAUCUGAGUGGGGAAACAGAAUGCUACUUAAAGCUGUUCACUGUUAUGCUACUGGUGUAUUUAUUUGUUUAUAAUUCACAAGUGUGGAAACUAAUGUUCAGCCUAGAUUAUAUUAAUAAGAAUACUAGUUGAGGUUGUUCAGUCUCCCUCAAUUAGUGGCAGGGGGUUGCAGGACUCGUGAACUUCAUAAGCAUGUAUUACUUCAGUUUAAUUUAGUUUAUUGGUUUGAGUGUGGAUAAGGAAAUGCAUAUGAGAGUUGAAAAAAUGGUUUUGCAUUCAGUGUUUGUUUAUGGCUACGGUUAUUCGUGGAUUAAUGAAAGCCAUAAAUCAGUAUUACAUGUAAGGGUAUUUUAUUAUUUUAGUUAAUUGCAUGUAUGUGUGUGGAGUUUUUUUCAACACCCACUGUGUAUAUGUGUGUGUGUGUGAGAGAGAGAGAGGCUUCUGAUAAGCCUCUUAGUGGACACUACAGGUGAGUAUGUUACUAUACCUAACAACAGACAUCUGAUUUAUGUGAGCAAGAACUUACACUGAUUAUUGAAAGUGCUCAUUUGCACAGCUGUAUUUGCCCUGCUAUGACACAUCUGUGAAUAAGGUCUAUUGAUUAAUAAUUAUACCAAAUUGCCACCAAAUAAACACAUUAGAUCAAGUGAAAUGGGCCAUUAGGGCCAAAAUGGCUUCAUUUGAUAGUGCAGUCAAGAGGUGUGCAAUUCAUCUUUCAGCACAGUGGUUUUCAAACUCUGGGUUGUGACACACUAGUGGCUUGCAGCAUCGGGACAGGUGUGUCAUGGGAAGGCUGUAAUGCAGGGUUUAAUAUAUAGACAACUAUAGUCAUAUAAAGUAUAUAGUAUAAAGACAAAGUAUAAAGACAACUUGACUGAAUUUUUUGGAAAUUUAUUUAUUUCAUUAAGUUUCCAAUCAUGCUGCCACUACAGAAAUGCCAUCUCCGGGCGCUUCCUUACUGGCUGGUUCCAUUCUUGUUUCAAUCUUCUUUCCACUAAAAAUGUCAAAAUGUGCAAUUAAAAGUUUGUUUAUAGACUAUCAGCAUUUGCGGAAGAUACUGAAAGAAAAGCCCUGCCACUGAAAUCUAACUUUAAGAAGUUUUGCAUCCACACAUAACAGAGCAUGAAUGAAAUCUUUACUGCUGUAUCAUCACUAUUGAUAAAGUUCAUGAAUUCAUGCUGAAGCCAGCCAGCUAAACCAAGUUACAGAUGGUUCCCAGUGCGUUGGAAAGGAUAGGGCUGACAUUAUUCAUUGAAGGUAGCUAGCUAAAGUUAGCUUUGGUAUAACGUAGUCACUGACAAAUAGUAGACGUUACAUUAAAAUAUAAUUUUAGAGUGCAGAAUUUCUGUCAUAUUCAUUUUUCACCCAUAUUUUACACAGACUUUACCGAACUGCCAUUUUCAUCUGUCGUUUUAACUCGUGCAUGUGUAUGUCUAAAACAAUGGGUCUGCUCAGUUCUGCAUCGCCCUGCGAUGUUUCUCAGCAAGAUGGGGACAUGCAAGUUGAAGGAAAUUUGGCUCCAAGAUGAAAAGUACCAGGAAUGGUUAGGUGUUGCAAGUAAUGAUUUUGAGGCAACUUGCAUGGUGUACUGAAAAACUUCUAAACUUGGGACAAUGGGAAUUAUGGCAGUUGAGUCCCAUUUGAAAUCAGAAAAGCACAGACUCAGACUAAAUAAAAAUACAAAAAAAUACAGCGCCAAUGGAGUCUUCUGUGUCUGCUGCCACUAUAUCAUCAGUUCACAGACUGGUAACGUUGGACCUUGUGAUACAGCCGUGGCCACUGUUCAACCAGGUGUUUUGUUAAGUCACCGACUGCUACUCUGAGGGCAGAAGGGUUGUGGGUUCUGCACAUAAGUCAGCACCAUUCACACAAGUCAAACAACAACAUCCACACACUUUUCAAGGAGAUGUUUCCUGACUCAGAACAUGUAAAGACAUUCACUUGUGAGAGAUAAAACGGCAUAUAUAGCUAGAUUUGGUAUUGCUCCCUUAUGAAAGACAGUUGAUUACAAAAGUGAAUGACGAGUCGUUCGUCGUAAUGUCCGAAAACAUGAAUAAGACAAAAAAUGAAUAGACCUCCACAUCAGGAACUGGACAGCCGAUGAGACGGGAACGUAUGUUUACUCCCAUUACUAUGGUUCUCAGUUCCCGGGCCACUCCACAGCUGAGGAUUUACUGGAUAAAUUCAAGGUAAGCUAACAGAGCCUGUUAUCAGAUCAGAACAAUUAUACUUGGAAAGUGAUAUUUAUCUUUACUUUUAAUUCACUUAAUACUGAAGUGCUGGUGGCUAUGAAGGCCCAUUACCAGCGAUCAUUUUUUGGUGAUUUGUGGGUGCACAAACUAAAUUUUGUUGAAAAGUGUAGUUCUUUUUUUUUUUUUUUUUAAAUAGUAAACACUUGUCUCAGCAGCAAUUCAGUGACUAUAUUUCAUUGUGUAGGUGCUAUAGUACUAGGUUAGGACCCCCUCCACCAUGAAAUAUGCCAUUAAAAUGCUGUGGCAGGUCUACACUCAGUUGUCAGUUGUACGAAGUACACUAGUAUAAAAAUAAUUCAGUCCAAUACCAGUCCUGCAAUAAAUCCCAUUGCCAUGAAUGUUAUAAUGUCUAGUUUUUGUUGCAGCUGUUUUAGAGAGGUUGUGGUUUAUGCUGGUGUUGAAUUGUAUUGUGUUAUACUGAGGGAUGUUUCUUUAAUCUUGACUUACAGCCUCAAAAGUAAUCAUAAACACCUCUCUAGAAAAGUUUCAACAAAAACUGAAUGUUAUAACUGUCAUGGGUAGGAUUUUCAGCAGGACUAUUGCAUUACACUGCAUACAUUUUUGUUAGGUGGACUUAUAAAUUGGCAACUGAAUAUAUGUAACAUAGAUGUUCAUAAAAGUGUUUGUGUUUGCACUUGUGUGUUAACCUGCAAGUCACCAAAACUAUACAUUCUGUCGUCUCCAUUAUAAAUGAUUCUACACCAGUAAUUGUCAUCUAAAUAAACUUUUUCUUUAAACCUAAUCUCAUUAUCCCAUGUAAUACACAUGCUACAUGAUCUUCCUUUAACUUGUUUUUUCAUUAAUAUUUUUCCCUUUGUUUUCUCCUUUGUAGGAUGGUACAAAAGAGCUCAGCCUUAAUUAAAUGUUGUCUGUGUCAAUGGAUGGACCAAGUGUAAAUUGGAGGUUUGUGCAGCUCCUACAACAAGAACACGACAGUUUGGUGGAGCUCAAAUUCAGAUUGCUGGAAAUUAUGGUCUCCACACCAUGCACAACUCUAUCAAGAGCGGUUUUGGGGUGUGGCAAGUAGAGAAGCUUCCCAAAGCCCUGCACUUUCUCUUCCACUGUACACCUGCAAGGUGGCAAGACUUCAGCUUGGUGACAAAGUCAACAAAAUUUCCACAGCCUUUUUGUGGUCAUCGCUGACUGGACAUUUUCCAGCAGUGGCAAGGGCUAUUGAAAUUUGGCCCUCUAUUGUCACCUCUGUGGACCAGUUCAAAAUGAAGAAGCUCCCCAACCUAGGACCCUCAUCAUACGACACAGUUGCAGAGGCCUAAAUGGAUCCCCUAACUUUACCAAAGUUGCACUUCUUCAUGGCAGUCUCUCAUUCUGAGGACACUAGUACAUAAUUCCUUUAUUGUAAUUACAAUAUUACUCACUCAACCGAAAUCUUUUUUCAGAGCAUUCUCAGAUGCUUGAUCAAGGAGGACGUACUUGAUGUUCCCAUCUUAAAUCUUGUCAGGUUUGAUGUGACAGACAAGAACCUAUGGUUCAGUCCAGAGCAGGUGGAUGUUGGAAUGUGAGCCAGAGCUGCCUCGAUGGGAACGUUAGGGAGUCAAAGCAGAGCAGCGAGCUUAGGCAGCUGCAGUUCAUGAAAGACAGUGGGAUAGCUCUCUCAAACAUCUGCAAGAACAUUCUGGAUAAGUGUCCACUGAAGUACCCCAUGGUCUGAAACAUGAUGUGUUGGACCCAAACAGAAUGUACUCGGAGCCAGAUGUGUGCUUGUGGAGAAUGAAGGGCCUCAUCCAGAAGUGAAGUGACUGCAGAGCAGUUAGAGACAUUCCUCUUUAAUGAGGCCAGAACAGCAAGCUUAAAGAACUUCAGUCCCACAGACCCAAACUCCAGAGUUGACAUGUUUUUGCAUCGGCACAUGAGCACCUCAUCCUCAGAGCAGUGGGGUUUCGUGAAGAAGCUGCUGAUUCUCUCCCGUGGCCAAGCCACAGUUCAACAUGGGUUCUCAGUCAACAAAGAGGUGGAAACAUGGAACGUGGAUGAAGACACAGUUAUUGCCCAAAGACGUAUCUGUUACCAUGUGAGAGUAUAUAGUGCAGUGACCCAAGUACCUCUUACUAAAGAGUUGCUAAACUACUGUGCAACUGCACGGACCAGGUACAGAAUGCACCUGGAUAAGGAAGAAAGGAAAAGUAAAAGGAUGAGCAGAUCAUCAAAAGAAAAAUGACUGGAGAUGAACUUGAAGAUCUACAGAAGAAAAGAAAAAUAAUGCAAAGCGUAUGUGAGACCCUAGAAAAAGAUGGAGACAGCUCUGCAGAAAAAGCUAUGAGUACUGCAGGGACUAAGAUAGCAGAACUGAUUACAAAGUCCAACACAUUGCGAAGAUGCUGCAAGGAGAAGAGAGAGGAGUUAGGAAACUUGGAUAGGGAAAUUGAGAAAAAGGCUUUUGAGCUACGAGACGUGAUGAAAAAAUAGCUCUUCUCAAAACAAAGGAUGUAAUCAAUCAGGGGUAAAGAAUGUCCAUGUAGUGUUGAAACAGUCAGUAGAAUGACAGGAAAUGGAUUAUUAAGAUAAUCAAGACAAAAUGGUAAACUCUUGAGUUUUUGGACUGUUGGUCAAGGUAUUUGUAGACAUAACUUUAGAUUCUAGAAAUCUUUUGGGAAUUUGUCUUAUAGUUUGACAUUUCAUAAACAAUCAGUAAACAGUAAGUUUUAGCCCUGGUCCUCUGUACCAGGAUGUGUGUUUGAUUUUUGAUCGUUU